rnacentral:rRNA from 1 species
GACAGAGGGUGCAAGCGUUGUUCGGAAUUAUUGGGCGUAAAGGGCGCGUAGGUGGCCUUGUAAGUCAGAUGUGAAAGCUCUGGGCUUAACCCAGAAAGUGCAUCUGAUACUGCUCGGCUUGAGUCUCGGAGAGGAUGGUGGAAUUCCCAGUGUAGAGGUGAAAUUCGUAGAUAUUGGGAGGAACACCGGUGGCGAAGGCGACCAUCUGGACGAAGACUGACACUGAGGCGCGAAAGCGUGGGGAGCAAACAGG